AGCUCUGUAAGCGUAUACCAAAGUUGUUGCAGUUAAAACGCUCGUAGUCGGACUUUGGCAGUUCCGGGAGUGUGCGCGUCGUGUGCACGCUUUGCGGGGAUUGCUUUUGUGGUAUUGCGUGGGAUGAAGCAUAUUUAUUUAUGAACGUCCUUCGGCAACCACUUUUUACUGUGAGAAAAUCAGAGUGCUCAAAGCAGGCAUUUGCCGUGAAUGUAUUAGCAUGGAAUAAUAGAAUAGGACUUGGUUCUAUUUUGUUGGUUUGUUGGAACUGAGUAAUGAUUAAGAGGGACAGUUGGGGGCAUUUGUAUUUCGGCGCUAGAGGUGAAAUUCUUAGAUUGCCGAAAGACAAACUGCUGCGAAAGCGUCUGCCAAGGAUGUUUUCA
rnacentral:rRNA from 1 species